rnacentral:rRNA from 1 species
CCUACGGGAGGCUGCAGUGAGGAAUAUUGGUCAAUGGACGAGAGUCUGAACCAGCCAAGUAGCGUGAAGGAUGACUGCCCUAUGGGUUGUAAACCUCUUUUAUAAAGGAAUAAAACGAGGCACGUGUGCCCUUUUGCAUGUACUUUAUGAAUAAGGAUCGGCUAACUCCGUGCCAGCAGCCGCGGUAAUACGGAGGAUCCGAGCGUUAUCCGGAUUUAUUGGGUUUAAAGGGAGCGUAGAUGGGUUGUUAAGUCAGUUGUGAAAGUUUGCGGCUCAACCGUAAAAUUGCAAUUGAUACUGGCAGUCUUGAGUACAGUUGAGGUAGGCGGAAUUCGUGGUGUAGCGGUGAAAUGCUUAGAUAUCACGAAGAACCCCGAUUGCGAAGGCAGCUUACUAAACUGUGACUGACAUUGAUGCUCGAAAGUGUGGGUAUCAAACAGGAUUAGAUACCCCGAGUAGUC